GGGGUUGUGGCUCAGCGAUAGAGCACUCGUCUAGCACAUGCCAGGCACUGGGUUCAAACCUCAGCACCACA
rnacentral:tRNA from 1 species